AUCAUCAUCGAGCGCCCGGCGCAUGGUGAAGUCCACGACCGGAUGGAACCGGAGCGACUCAUUGAUAAAACUCUCCAGAAUGUGUAACCUGGACAGAUGACAGUGUCCAUUUCCUGCAGGAUCUUUAACUCUACGUCUGGAUUCUGUUUGAGCAACAGCAACAUGAAGAACAGACUGAUAGAGAGAGUGUCUGGAGCCGCGAUAAUCAUCUCCAACACACACUGCCUGACGUUCUCAGCACUCAACUCCCCAUGGCUCUAAACACGCACACACAGAGAUGAACAAAGGUCUUACGGGCUUGGAACGACAUGAGGGUGAGUUAUAAAUGACAGAAUUUUUGGGUGAAAUAUCCCUAUACAUAGCAUACAAAAAU